GAGGCGGGGGCAGGAGAAAACAACUUAAUGGGUUUUAAUGGCCUUGAGCUGGAGCCUAAGAAUUCUCCUGCCUUCAGUCCACUGUGCCAUGGAGCUGGUGAACAAACACCCCGCUGGUUAUGAAGACCACUUUCUCUCUGGCCAUUAUUCAAGGCUGUGCCAGGAGCUGGAUUCCCUCCAUCAUCAAGACCAAAUUCAACCUGCUUGUGCUUUGCUACUACUGAACAAUGAGUUUGGAGCUGGAGUACAGGAAAUUGGAACUGUUUUACUGUAAAAUUGCCCACUACAUACUAUACUC